GAGGAAUAUUGCACAAUGGAGGAAACUCUGAUGCAGCAACGCCGCGUGGAGGAUGACGCAUUUCGGUGUGUAAACUCCUUUUAAGAGGGAAGAUAAUGACGGUACCUCUUGACUAAGCACCGGCUAACUCCGUGCCAGCAGCCGCGGUAAUACGGAGGGUGCAAGCGUUACUCGGAAUCACUGGGCGUAAAGGGUGCGUAGGCUGGCUUCUAAGUCAGAUGUGAAAUCCAAUGGCUUAACCAUUGAACUGCAUUUGAAACUGGGAGCCUAGAGUUCAGAAGGGGCAGAUGGAAUUAGUGGUGUAGGGGUAAAAUCCGUAGAUAUCACUAGGAAUAUCAAAAGCGAAGGCGGUCUGCUGGCUUGUAACUGACCCUCAGGGACGAGAGCGUGGGUAGCAAACA
rnacentral:rRNA from 1 species